ACAUCCUUAACCACCAAAAUCUUGGCUUUGGCCAGAUAAUGCAGUGACAAAUCCGUGACAGCAUCUCUCAAAAUACUCUUUUGAAUCAGCAAUACGUUGCAGCCAGACGCCUUAAUCUUCUUAAUCAUACCCAAAAUGUAAUUUCUCUCUUCUUUCAAAAUCCUAUCCAUCUGGGUAUAAUCAGAAACCACAAUGCUCUGCUCUAUAUCAGUCUUUGGAGGAGAAAUUUGGAAUUGAAUCACUGCAAUCUUCGCGUUCUCAACUCGUGUUGGUCCACCAGCUGCAUGGCUCACUUUCUUAUCAAAAACUAAGCCUUUAACCAUCUCCGUAUCAUCCACAGUCCCGCCUAGCUUCUUCACUAUCCUAACAUCCCUCAAGUCCACCAAAUCGGGCUUGGCAGGGUCCACUACAGAGAGAACUGCAUCUACCGCUAAUGGAGCUAGAAGCGUAGAAUACUGACUCACGACUUUACUAUUCAAAGAAGUGCUUGCAGAUUUAAUUAGGGAUUCCCCGUCCGAUAACUCCACAGGGACAGCCAUGGCAGUCAAUACAUCGAUAGCUUUAAUAGAUGCUUUAUGAAGAGAAUCGGAGAUUACCGUGGGGUGGAUUCCACUGGAAAGAAGCGAGAGACACUGCUUCAAAAGCGCGCCAGCAAUGACGACGACGGUGGUGGUGCCAUCACCAGCAGCGGCGUCCUGAGCCUUUGAGAGCUCGACAAGCAUUUUGGCGGCGGGCUGAAGGACCUCCAUUUUGUUGAGAAUUGUAGCGCCAUCGUUGGUGAUGAUUACUUCACCAUUGGCGGCGGAAAUCAUUUUGUCCAUACCUUUGGGUCCCAGACUGGUCCGGACUGCGUCCGCCACGGCUCGAGCGGCGACGAUGUUGGCAUGGCGGAUGUCCUCUUUGCGCUUAUUGUCGACAUAAGAAUCGGUUUUGGAGGAUCUGGGCCGGGAGAUUGCCGGUGCCGCCAUUAGGGUUUUGAAGAUCGAAA
rnacentral:misc_RNA from 1 species